rnacentral:rRNA from 1 species
AUUGAACGCUGGCGGCAGGCCUAAAACAUGCAAGUCGAACGAGUGGCGGACGGGUGAGUAAUGUCUGGGAAACUGCCUGAAGGAGGGGGAUAACUAGUGGAAACGGUAGCUAAUACCGCAUACCAUCAGAUGUGCCCAGAUGGGAUUAGCUAGUUGGUGGGGUAACGGCUCAGCAAGGCGACGAUCCCUAGCUGGUCUGAGAGGAUGACCAGCCCGACUGGAACUCAGACACGGUCCAGACUCCUACGGGAGGCACCUGUGGGGAAUAUUGCACAAUGGUCGCAAGCCUGAUGCAGACAUGCCGGGUGUAUGAAGAAGGCCUUCGGGUUGUAAAGUACUUUCAGCGGGGAGGCGUUACCCGCCGAAGAAGCACCGGCUAACUCCGUGCCAGCCGCCGCGGUAAUUC